rnacentral:rRNA from 1 species
AUGUCAAAGAUAAUUCACUUCCGAGUGGAACAGGAAAAAUCAUGCGUUUCUAAGACUACAGCCGAAUACAAGCAUUCGACCGUAGUCUCGGGGACUACACCCAGUGGGUGCACUCAGCGUGCCCCCACUAAUCCUAUUGAAGACAGAGUCGACCAGUCGACCUCAAAAAAAAAACAAGAUGUAUUCUUUAAGACUGUAAUUGACUGCAAGCAGUCGACCACAGUCUCGGGGACUACACCCAGUGGGUGCACUCAGCGUGCCCCCACCGGUUUGCGAAAUCCAUUCGCCAUAGUCAAAUGA